UUUUGUUAUUUUUUCUUGAAGUGUUUAGUCGUGCGUGUCUCGUGUCGUUGUUAAUAAAAUAUAUAAUUAUAUCAAACUAUUAACAAUAUGGAAACAAAAAAAGAUGUAAUCUCUAAUGAUGAAGAAAAAGGCAGAAGGUGAAACAUGCGAUUGGGCAUCUAAAGAAACACCAACAACAGCAGCAACAACAAAUAAAAUAAAAUGAAAAAAAUGUAUUGUAUUUUAUAUUGUAUAUAUUGUGAAAAUUUCGUUUGCCAAAAUUAAAUAAAAAAAACAGUUUCAGUGAAAAAAAAAUAAA